UCCACAGUCCACAGCAUGAGCCCCAUCUGAGGCUGCAUUACCCUGAGGGAGCAAAGAUUUUUCACCUAAAGGCUCUCUCUACUUGCCUAGCCACAUCCCGGCAGGACUACAUCUGCCCAGAGGCCAUGCGCCUUUUUCUAUUUUCUAAAAACGUAGGAGGGACCAUGUCCAUUCCCAACAGAUCCUGCUUCUAGGGUUGAGGAAUCCUCGUUUUAGAAAUCUUGCCAGGUAGGAAAAGAAUCUCAGAAGGUGAGUAGGUUCUGGGAACCCCAGCCCUGGAGAAUCUCUGAGCUUCUCUGGCCUCCUCUGGGAAAGGUCCUCAGAACUCCAACGACAUCGGUUGCCAGCUGAAAAUCAGCUCCCUUGCUAAGGGGAGUCCCAACUAGGUCCUGACCCAGGAGUCCUGCCUCUUCCUGCCUCAGCCAGUGGCUCCAGCUGAACUCAGGUGAGCAGGCAAUCUCCUGCCUAGUCGCCCAUCUGCUCUCUGAGGCUGGCAUAAAAGCGUCCUAGCGCCCAACUCUGCCCACGGGAGGAGCUCUCUGUUGCUAGGUGGAGCAGUUUGCCUGGGAGAUGAGAAGAGGGUGAAACCAGCCCCAACACUCUCCAAUGCAGAGCCGUGAAUUUAGAGACAAGCGAGAGGUAAAGGGUCGCUGCGGUCUUCCUGGGGUUAAAAAUGAAGCAACACCAGGGGAGCCUUUCCCCUGGGGGUCCUGAGUAGGACUGGAUUCCAGGAUUGUGGACUGCCCCUGGCCAUGCUGUCUCAUGGAUGGAGCAGGUUUGGGAUCUCUCUGAUGGGCUCUGCCUUUGUGUCUUUACACCCAGGUCCAGCCCUGCAAAUGAUGAGGCGACUGAGGCUCAGAAAACUAAGUGCUUGCCCCCAGGCCCCAGAGCUGACUGGUUCCAAAGCUGGGCUCCUCCCACUGGAGGACACUGCCUCUCCUGCCUUUUGAAGUCAGUUCAUCUGGAGGGUGGCCCAGCCCUCCCACAAAGCCCGGGGGCACCUCUGUGAGAAACUGGGAGGAAGGGCGUGGCUGGCCCACCCACAGAGCCCAGCCUGCUCCCCAGAUAUCUCCCAGGAAGAGCCCACAGGUUUCUUAAGGAAGAAGCCAGGAGACUGCUGUGUGGGCGGUGGUGUCCAGGCCCCUCCUCCUGCCCAAAAUUCUUUGCUUGCUGUUUGAAUUCCACCAAUGACAAGCAGGUUCUCUCUUUCUCUCCCUCUCUCUAUCCCCCUGUCAGAAGAAAAUAUGGGAGAAAAUAGCUUGGUUCCUGGAGAGGAAAAGGAGGUUUUGAUAGGAGAGAGAGUCCUCUGAAGGGUGGAAUAGAGGGAAGGGCAGGCCUGUGUAGAACCCCAGAAUGGGUGAACUUGAAUCAAAGAGCCUUGGCACAGGGUUCCUGGUGGGCAGUGUGGAAUGAGCAAGGAAGCAGGGGAGAGAGAGAGAGAGGAACACUGGUUGGCCAGAUUUUGGGGAGGCACUGAAGGCAAACUUUUCAACCCAUUCAAACUGUUUCAGGCUCUCAAGCCAGCCUGGUUCCCUCCUGCCCCAGGGCCUUUGCAUGCACAGCUCCCUGUACCUCCAAUCCUCUCUAGCUUCUGCUUUGUUCACCCCUUUCUCCCUCCUUCAGCUCCCAGCUUAAAGAUCACUUUCUCAGGGAGGUCUUUCUGCCUCCCAGGCUUUAUAUUGAAUGUUGUAUGUUCUCACAGCAUCUGCUCCUUUCCUCCAUGUGUUUAGCUCAGCUUCUAAUGAUUUACCUGUUAGGAUUACUAUUGGACUAAUGUCUUAUUGCCUCACUGGAUGUUAAGCUUCAUGAGAACUAGGGCCAUGUGUGGUUUUGCUCUUGAUUUUCGCCAUUGCAACUCACUGUAAUGCCUGGCACAUCGGUGCCACUUUGUAAAAAUUGGAGUUAAAUAAAUAAAGGUGAAGUGCGUCCAUCCACCCCGGACUUCCUGCCCCUUUCCACAGAGAACUUGAGUUUGUCCAGACCAGGUACCAGAACUGUGGUUUGUCCAUCCUCAAGUCCCC